rnacentral:tRNA from 2 species
UGUAGGGUGGUGAAAUUGGCAGACACACCUCCUUGUCUCGGUGGUAGAGGAAAUGGGAAAUCCGGUAACGGUACAACCACUCUAUGAAGGUUCGACUCCUUCCCCUACAG